rnacentral:pre_miRNA from 1 species
CUGUAAUUUCAGAUUCCUCCACUUUUGGUCCCUCAUUUUACGUGACAUGUAUACAAAUUCUGCUUACAUGGUGUAAUAAGGGAUCAAAAGUGGAAGAAUCUGAAAUUACAG